CACGGCCGCCGGGUUCUAUCGUCUGCCGUGAGCGCGGAGCCGCCGUACCGGCGACUCCGCGCUCACGGCAUUCGAGCUCAGGCGUUGUAG
rnacentral:pre_miRNA from 1 species